GCGAUGAAGGACGUGCUAAUCUGCGAUAAGCGCCGGUAAGGUGAUAUGAACCGUUAUAACCGGCGAUUUCCGAAUGGGGAAACCCAGUGUGACUCGUCACACUAUCAUUAACUGAAUCCAUAGGUUAAUGAGGCGAACCGGGGGAACUGAAACAUCUAAGUACCCCGAGGAAAAGAAAUCAACCGAGAUUCCCCCAGUAGCGGCGAGCGAACGGGGAGGAGCCCAGAGCCUGAAUCAGCAUGUGUGUUAGUGGAAGCGUCUGGAAAGGCGCGCGAUACAGGGUGAC
rnacentral:rRNA from 1 species